rnacentral:rRNA from 1 species
GACGAACGCUGGCGGCGUGCUUAACACAUGCAAGUCGAACGUGAUUUUUGUGGAAAUUCUCUCGGGAAUGGAAAUGAAAUGAAAGUGGCGAACGGGUGAGUAACACGUGAGCAACCUACCUUACACAGGGGGAUAGCCGUUGGAAACGACGAUUAAUACCGCAUGAGACCACAGAAUCGCAUGAUAUAGGGGUCAAAGAUUUAUCGGUGUAAGAAGGUCUCGCGUCUGAUUAGCUAGUUGGAAGGGUAAAGGCCUACCAAGGCGACGAUCAGUAGCCGGUCUGAGAGGAUGAACGGCCACAUUGGAACUGAGACACGGUCCAAACUCCUACGGGAGGCAGCAGUGGGGAAUAUUGCACAAUGGGGGGAACCCUGAUGCAGCGACGCCGCGUGAGCGAAGAAGGUUUUCGAAUCGUAAAGCUCUGUCCUAUGAGAAGAUAAUGACGGUAUCAUAGGAGGAAGCCCCGGCUAAAUACGUG